AGGCAGGAGAAUCGCUUGAACUCAAGAGGUAGAGGUUGCCGUGAGCCGAGACUGCACUUCUGCUCUCCAGCAUAGGACACAGAGCAAGACUUCAUCUCAAAAAUGAAAACAAGCAAACUAAAAAACUCUUCCAGCUUUUUCGAAGGCACAUUUAGAUCCAUGGCUGUGGACAAUCUAAAGCAUGUUCUGCUCUGUGCAGCCUAUGCAGCUACAAAAAAACGAAAUUGCUGGAGUUUGGCAACAUAACUUUCAGGUUCCCUUUUAAAUAGCUAAGUCAGCCUUGCAAAGAGUCUACUGGGACAGUAUGAAUGGAAAACUGAAGGGAACUCACUCGAUUUUUUAGGCCACACUGCAUUUUAAAGCUUAAGUUAUUUGAGUCAUCUUCUCCAUCAUCUAAUUUGCAUGUGUGCUCAAGGAUGCGGGAUACCUGGCAACAUCAACUUCCUAAAUUGUUAAUGUUGGUUGGUGUCAAACAAAAUCUGAUCUCGAAGCUGUUUGGCUUCACUUGGAUUUGAAGGGACUGUUUGUUCAAAGCUCAUGUUCUAAACCUGUUUGCGAUUUUUAUCUAAAGUCAGAUUGCCAUGGUUUCAGCACAUUCCAGUUUACUUAGCAAAAUUCGGCCCUUGUGAAAUUGGCUGCAAAUGAAGUACCUAAUUCCAAUUUUAGGCAUAAUCUGAUUAGUACUUUUCAUAUUAUAAUAAUGAGCAGUGAAUACUCAGCAUUUAAAAAAUUUUGGCUCAGAAUGAAAACCAAGCUCUUUCCACUUCAUCAUUCUGUACCUUUCCAAAAAGAGAGGAUGGCUUUUGAGGUAUAUUGCCAUACAACACCCUUAUUAACAGGCUGUUGCUUGUUACAAUUUACAUAAACCAAGUGUGCAUCCCUCUGGUAUAUAUCCCAAAACACUCAACAACUUCAGUGAAUUUAUCCCAACCAACGAGCAUGUUGAAUUUUUUUUUUCUUUUUGGUAUUUUCAGGGUGAAAUAUGUGACUGUGCUAGCAAACACGCCCAUGCCAUCUGUUGGGUUGGGAGGAAGGCAGUUUCUAAGAACAAUUAAGUUUAGUUCUGGGCGUUCAGUUCGAGAGAGUCACAGUCCACCCAGUUGUGAAAAGAAACAAAUUCUGUUCAUUUUAUUCUCUCACUUGUUCCCUCUCUCUGCAACACACACUGUACUUCUUGCUAACAAGGCGCUCAGCUCUCUCUCAUCUCCACCACCUCGUCCUUCACGCUUCACACUUUCCUUCUUUUUUUCUCUCUUUCUUUGGCUCCUGGUUGGCUCUGACCAUCCCUCCAAUAUCCAUCUUAGGUGGAUUAGCAACAGGCCGUCUGGCUGAGCCGGCUCUCAGAAGGGCUCUCAGGGUGAUCGCCUACGAUUAUUGGGAGGUACCUCAGUUAUGAACCUGAAGAUGGGUGAGGAAAAUGUGUUACUUUUUCUCUCCUACGGCAUCUAGUUUUAGACCUCCCAUUUUGGAUGAAAUCAGAUCUUAAAGAUCUAGCGUCUACUUUCCUCUGAGCGCCGUGCUCUUCAGGUUGCUGAAUUCUUCAGGAAUCCAGAGUCUCGCUGUGUCGCCCAGGCUGGAGUGCAGUGUAGCCAGGAUGGUCUCGAUCUCCUGACCUCGUGAUCCGCCCGCCUUGGCCUCCCAAAGUGCUGGGAUUACAUGGACACGCGUUUCUAAAGGCUCCCCUCGUGACCCUGCUGGACUGCCAGGGUUGAAAAGCUGCUGCGCUGGUGCACACAUAAAUGCCUCACCUGCUGGAUAAGCAGUGCCAAGGCACGGAGAAGAAAGGCCUUCCUGAGAAGAGGAACUCAGCAGCCCCUUGAGCACGUGCCAUGAAUCCUCAAAGAGCAUUUCCCCAUCACACACAUCUCCACGAGAUGCUGGAACUCAAAGAUGGUAUGGUGAGCCGGCAUCAGCCACGCAGAUGAGGACGUCAGAGCAACAAGGCAGAUGCAACGUGGGUCUCUGAAUGAACAUGGAGGAGGAGCACUUCCCACCUGCCUCAGACCACCUGGCUACCUCUUUCUGUACUGUUGGGUGAGAGAGAAAUAAACUUCCUUUGGUUUGAGCUGC